rnacentral:rRNA from 1 species
UACAGAGGGUGCAAGCGUUGUUCGGAAUUACUGGGCGUAAAGGGCGUGCAGGCGGUCUGUUAAGUUCAGGGUGAAAGCUCCCGGCUCAACUGGGAGAGGUCCUUGGAUACUGGCAGACUUGAGGGAGGUAGAGGAGAGUGGAAUUCCCGGUGUAGAGGUGAAAUUCGUAGAUAUUCGCAAGAACACCAGUGGCGAAGGCGGCUCACUGGCCCGGUACUGACGCUGAGGUGCGAAAGCGUGGGGAGCAAACAGG